rnacentral:rRNA from 1 species
CAGUCGCCGCGGUAAUACGUAGGUGGCAAGCGUUGUCAGGAAUUAUUGGGCGUAAAGGGCUCGCAGGCGGUUUCUUAAGUCUGAUGUGAAAGCCCCCGGCUCAACCGGGGAGGGUCAUUGGAAACUGGGAAACUUGAGUGCAGAAGAGGAGAGUGGAAUUCCACGUGUAGCGGUGAAAUGCGUAGAGAUGUGGAGGAACGCCAGUGGCGAAGGCGACUCUCUGGUCUGUAACUGACGCUGAGGAGCGAAAGCGUGGGGAGCGAACAGGAUUAGAUACCCCGGUAGUCCCUGUCUCUUAUAC